rnacentral:ncRNA from 1 species
GCGCCGGGACGACCCGGCGCGUGUACUGGCCUGAGGACGACCUCG